rnacentral:rRNA from 1 species
UGGGGAAUUUUGGACAAUGGGCGAAAGCCUGAUCCAGCAAUGCCGCGUGUGUGAAGAAGGCCUUCGGGUUGUAAAGCACUUUUGUCCGGAAAGAAAUCCUUGGCUCUAAUACAGUCGGGGGAUGACGGUACCGGAAGAAUAAGCACCGGCUAACUACGUGCCAGCAGCCGCGGUAAUACGUAGGGUGCAAGCGUUAAUCGGAAUUACUGGGCGUAAAGCGUGCGCAGGCGGUUUGCUAAGACCGAUGUGAAAUCCCCGGGCUCAACCUGGGAACUGCAUUGGUGACUGGCAGGCUAGAGUAUGGCAGAGGGGGGUAGAAUUCCACGUGUAGCAGUGAGAUGCGUAGAGAUGUGGAGGAAUACCGAUGGCGAAGGCAGCCCCCUGGGCCAAUACUGACGCUCAUGCACGAAAGCGUGGGGAGCAAACAGGAUUAGAUACCCUGGUAGUCCACGCCCUAAACGAUGUCAACUAGUUGUUGGGGAUUCAUUUCCUUAGUAACGUAGCUAACGCGUGAAGUUGACCGCCUGGGGAGUACGGUCGCAAGAUUAAAACUCAAAGGAAUUGAC